CCUACGGGAGACUGCAGUGGGGAAUAUUGGACAAUGGGGGCAACCCUGAUCCAGCCAUGCCGCGUGUGUGAAGAAGGCCCUCGGGUUGUAAAGCACUUUCAGUGAGGAAGAACGCCUGGUGGUUAAUACCCAUCAGGAAAGACAUCACUCACAGAAGAAGCACCGGCUAACUCCGUGCCAGCAGCCGCGGUAAUACGGAGGGUGCGAGCGUUAAUCGGAAUUACUGGGCGUAAAGCGCGCGUAGGUGGCUUGAUAAGCCGGUUGUGAAAGCCCCGGGCUCAACCUGGGAACGGCAUCCGGAACUGUCAAGCUAGAGUGCAGGAGAGGAAGGUAGAAUUCCCGGUGUAGCGGUGAAAUGCGUAGAGAUCGGGAGGAAUACCAGUGGCGAAGGCGGCCUUCUGGACUGACACUGACACUGAGGUGCGAAAGCGUGGGUAGCAAACAGGAUUAGAUACCCUAGUAGUC
rnacentral:rRNA from 1 species